rnacentral:rRNA from 1 species
AGCAGCCGCGGUAAUUCCAGCUCCAAUAGCGUAUAUUAAAGUUGUUGCAGUUAAAAAGCUCGUAGUUGAAUUUCGGGAUCAAAUUGUCGGUCGUGCCUCGGUACGCACUGGCGUUAUUGGUUCCUCCCUUCUGAAGAACCGCGAUGUCAUUAAUUUGGUGUCGCGGGGAAUCAGGACUGUUACUUUGAAAAAAUUAGAGUGUUUAAAGCAAGCUCGCGCUUGAAUACAUUAGCAUGGAAUAAUGAAAUAGGACGUUUGAUUCUAUUUUGUUGGUUUCUAGGAUCGACGUAAUGAUUAAUAGGGAUAGUUGGGGGCAUUAGUAUUCAAUUGUCAGAGGUGAAAUUCUUGGAUUUAUUGAAGACUAACUACUGCGAAAGCAUUUGCCAAGGAUGUUUUCAUAAUUCAAGAACGAAAGUUAGGGGAUCGAAGACGAUCAGAUACCGUCGUAGUCUUAACCAUAAACUAUGCCGACUAGGGAUCGGAUGAUGUUAAUUUUUUAAUGACUCAUUCGGCGCCUUAC